CCUACGGGAGGCAGCAGUGAGGAAUAUUGGUCAAUGGACGAGAGUCUGACCCAGCCAAGUAGCGUGAAGGAUGACUGCCCUAUGGGUUGUAACCUUCUUUUAUAUGGGAAUAAAAUGUUCCACGUGUGGGAUUUUGUAUGUACCAUAUGAAUAAGGAUCGGCUAACUCCGUGCCAGCAGCCGCGGUAAUACGGAGGAUCCGAGCGUUAUCCGGAUUUAUUGGGUUUAAAGGGAGCGUAGGUGGAUUGUUAAGUCAGUUGUGAAAGUUUGCGGCUCAACCGCAAAAUUGCAGUUGAUACUGGCAGUCUUGAGUGCAGUAGAGGUGAGCGGAAUGCGUGGUGUAGCGGUGAAAUGCUUAGAUAUCACGAAGAACACCGAUUGCGAAGGCAGCUUACUGGACUGCAACUGACACUGAGGCACGAAAGUGUGGGUAUCAAACAGGAUUAGAUACCCGGGUAGUC
rnacentral:rRNA from 1 species